AGAACGAACGCUGGCGGCAUGCCUAAUACAUGCAAGUCGAACGAACACUUCGGUGUUAGUGGCGCACGGGUGCGUAACGCGUGGGAAUCUGCCCUUGGGUUCGGAAUAACAGUUGGAAACGACUGCUAAUACCGGAUGAUAUCGAAAGAUCAAAGAUUUAUCGCCCAGGGAUGAGCCCGCGUAGGAUUAGCUAGUCGGUGAGGUAAAGGCUCACCAAGGCGACGAUCCUUAGCUGGUCUGAGAGGAUGAUCAGCCACACUGGGACUGAGACACGGCCCAGACUCCUACGGGAGCAGCAGUAGGGAAUAUGGACAA
rnacentral:rRNA from 1 species